CCUACGGGUGGCAGCAGUGAGGAAUAUUGGUCAAUGGGCUUACGCCUGAACCAGCCAAGUCGCGUGAGGGAAGACGGCCCUAUGGGUUGUAAACCUCUUUUGUCGGGGAGCAAGGCCGGCCACGUGUAGCCGGACUGAGAGUACCCGAAGAAAAAGCAUCGGCUAACUCCGGGCCAGCAGCCGCGGUAAUACGGAGGAUGCGAGCGGUAUCCGGAUUUAUUGGGUUUAAAGGGUGCGUAGGCGGACUGGUAAGUCUGCGGUAAAAAUGCGGGGCUCAACCAUGGCGAGCCGUUGGAACUGGCAGUCUUGAGUGGGCGAGAAGUAUGUGGAAUGCGUGGUGUAGCGGUGAAAUGCAUAGAUAUCACGCAGAACGCCGAUUGCGAAGGCAGCAUACCGGCGCCCGAAUGACGCUGAGGCACGAAAGCGUGGGGAUCGAACAGGAUUAGAUACCCCAGUAGUC
rnacentral:rRNA from 1 species